rnacentral:rRNA from 1 species
GAUCCUGGCUCAGAUUGAACGCUGGCGGCAGGCCUAACACAUGCAAGUCGAACGGUAACAGGAAGCAGCUUGCUGCUUUGCUGACGAGUGGCGGACGGGUGAGUAAUGUCUGGGAAACUGCCUGAUGGAGGGGGGAUAACUACUGGAAACGGUAGCUAAUACCGCAUAACGUCGCAAGGCCAAAAGAGGGGGGACCUUCGGGCCUCUUGCCAUCGGAUGUGCCCAGAUGGGAUUAGCUAGUAGG